AUUACAUUAGAAGAGAUAACAAGAGACGGUAGGGAAGCACUACCUUUAGCCAAAGAAUCAACUAAAAAAUUAGCUGCACAAUAAGCAUGGGAUAAAGAGACUCUCAGAGGUUCCACCAAAACCAUGAACUGCAACCAUAGAGAACCAUGCUCCCAAGGAACUUCUUCUCCUUUUUGCACCAUCCAAAGAGUUACCUUGAAAAUUGGAAGAGAGUUAUAGGAUCUAGCUAUUAAUUUUAACUUUAACUUGGAACAUUGGAAGAGACUAAUGGUAAGUAUAUUUGAAUUUACUAAUAAAAAAACCAAUAUCCCCUACAAUAUUGUUUCCUAUAUAGGUUAAUUUUUU
rnacentral:lncRNA from 1 species